rnacentral:snRNA from 1 species
AUCCAAGUGCAAGGGCGUUUUCCUUCUCCGUGAAGCGAUAAGCUGAGAGAGGAAUUUUGCUAGUUGAAAACUAUACACUGACCGCUCCUCAUUGGGUUCGCCUGGUGAGGGAAUUUUUGGAACCCUUCUUUCCCUCUGGAAUUAUUUUCUUUCAUUGCGGUUGGCCCCUUGCGGGCUGACGUGAAGAAGG